AUGGUCAUGACCAAUCACUACGCACCCUCCACAGCCCGACUCGUCCUAUUGGUCCUGCUCACUGUCACUCCACGGCUGACCGCCACCCCUGUGGGUGGGGAUGGGCAGGGGGAGGGGCACUCUAGGACUCACCUUAAAGAGGACAGCCCCAGCCCCCUCCGCUACCCCUUGGACCAGACCCAGGACCAGAUAGAGGACCAGGUACAGAGCCAGGAACAGAGCUAUGGUGGUCCCACAAACAUGGACCCUGCCCGGGCUCUAGCCGCUAUGCUACUGGAGGCCCUGGACCACACUGGGAGAGGACAGACAAAGGAGAGAGGAGAGGGGGACCCAGUCCCUUUGGAGGAGAGGAGGGAUGAGGAGACAAGGAGAGAGGUUGGGAGAGAGGAGGAGGAGGAGGAGGAGGAGAGGAGGGAUGAAGAGACAAGGAGAGAGGUUGGGAGAGAGGAGGAGGAGGAGGAGGAGGAGAGGAGGGAUGAAGAGACAAGGAGAGAGGUUGGGAGAGAGGAGGAGGAGGAGGAGGAGGAGGAGAGGAGGGUGGGGGAGAGAAGGAUGGAACGGCUAGGACCAGCACUAGUGGCAGUAGCUCUGGGAGAGGAGUUAAGAGAGAUAGAGGAAGAGGAGGAGAGGGAGGAGAGGAAGAGGUCGGAGGACAGAGGCUGGCUUCUAGAGGUAGAGGGGGACAGAGCUGGUGGUGGGAGUGAGGAGGGAGGACAGCAGAAGGAAGAGGAGGAGGAGGAGGAAGAAGGAGAAGCAGGGAGAUGGGGAAGUGAGAAGGAGAAAAGAGCAGAGGGUAGUAGGACAGGAGAAGAGGGGAGGCCUAUUGACCUCCAGCGGAAGGUUCGGGGCUACUUCCAGAACAUAGACCUCGGUCUCCAAGACAACGAGAUUCUUCCCCCUCUGAAGGGGUAUAAGGCCUACAACACCCAGCUGGCACAAGCUGGGAAAAAGUUGCACUGGGAGGAAGAGCGGGCACGCAACACACCCUUGGGGGGCAACUUCAUGGACGACUUUGAGAACGAAGCAGAGGAGGAGGAGGAGGCGGCUCUGUCGAUGGUGGAAGAGGAAGAGGCUCGGGCGCGUGCAGAGCAGCAGGAGGUGCAACGGCAGCAGGAGGAGGCAGAGCGGGCUAGAGAGGAGGAGCAGAGGCUGGCGGACAUCGCCUCGGACAUGUUGCUUCAGUACAUGGGGAGACAGAAGCAGCAGCGGGCGCCCUACCUCACGGCCAGACAGAAGGCCGGCGCCAACGCCGCUGAAGACAAGCGCUCCGAGGAGGUGGUAACCGACGGCGACGACCUGGACCAGCAGAUGAUCGACAGGCUGAUCGAAAUCAGCAGCAAGCUGCACCUGCCGGCCGACGACGUGGUCCAGAUCAUCUCCAACGUAGAGGAGAAGAAGAAGAAGAGGAAGGAGCUGACGUCGCUUAGCAACCCGGUCGCCCCGCGUUACCGACCCUUAGUUCCCCCUCCUCUAGUGACGGGCCCCAUGUACCACUACACAGCCUCCUCUAACCCCAAGAAGGACCCUUACCCUUACCAGCCCUACAAGAACAAGUGGAACAAUGACAGAGCCAAGGCUAAGGCCUACAAGCAGGACGUCUGGUUCAAACCCCAGAAACAGUUCCUAGCCUUCCCGUCCUACCCCUACUAUCAGAAACCCUACCGAGCAUACUACCCUGUGUUCUUCCCCUACCCCAAACCCCAGUACUACGACAAUACUCCCAUGGGGGAGGAGCUACCCCACAGCCCGCCCUCGGACUAUGAGCUUCGACCUACCAGGCGCAGACACAGGGCCGGGGGAAGGGCCAGAGGUGGAAGUAGGCAUGGCUGGAGACAGCAGCCCCUCCCACCCCGUCUUCCUUCCUCUCCUUACAUCUCCAAUUACAUCCUGCCACACCCACGGACAUAUCAGCCCCUGCCUAAACCCCUCUCCCCCCAGAACAGGGGCAGGCAUCCCCAGUACUACUACCCACCAGGGCCUGGGGGCUUGGGUGUAGCUGGGGGGAGGGCAGGAGAGGACUAUGAAGACGACCAUGGGCUGGUUCCACAGCUGGACAGUCAAGAGGAAUUGGAGAACUUUAUAUCGAAAAUAUACAUGAAACGCAGAAUGUACUAG
rnacentral:lncRNA from 8 species